rnacentral:rRNA from 1 species
UACGUAGGUGACAAGCGUUGUCCGGAUUUACUGGGCGUAAAGAGCGCGCAGGCGGUCGAUCAAGUCGAGUGUGAAAGCCCCCGGCUCAACUGGGGAGGGUCAUUCGAUACUGAUCGACUCGAAGGCAGGAGAGGGUAGUGGAAUUCCCGGUGUAGUGGUGAAAUGCGUAGAUAUCUGGAGGAACACCGGUGGCGAAGGCGGCAUCCUGGACCAACACUGACACUGAGGAGCGAAAGCCAGGGGAGCAAACGGG